AGGCAGGCUUUUAUUACAAAUGUUUAUACAAAUUUUAAGUAACAGCAAGAGCAAAAAUGAACAAUAGCCAAGCAUUAUUUCAUAAGAUAUAUUUAUUUGCACACUCCUCUCUUCUCUCUCACAUGGAAACAUUUAAAUCUUAGCACCAUGAGGUGAUUGGUCAAAAUGAAUUUCAUUUCAUCACGGGAACUUACUCAUGCAAAAGAGAUAUACUACUCUGUACAGAAGACUUGUAUUGGUGCAGGUACAGAGUACAGAGUAUACCAGAAGUAUGUGUGUAUUUACUCCUGUCAGUUGUAAUCAGUACUCAUAGGGAUAUAUCGUAGUGUUAGUCUCACAUAAACAUUUGUGAUGUACAUUUACAACAAAAUCUGAUGGCUACUAACAAUCCAUAAUAAGGGAUAGACGAAUGAAUAUAAGGUUACAAUUUUUGUUUUAGUCUGUAAUAUAAUGCUAUUUAAUAAUUUUGAUGCUUAAUAAAAAAAAAUCCAAUUUCCAAUCAUCUAUACAAUUUACAAUUUUAACAAAUUAUCCACAUAAUAAAACAAGCAUUACAGAACAAUAUAAACAGACAUGUUAAUCUAUUUUCAAAAUUUUCUGGGACAUAAUUAUUUUCAAUAAUUCACAGGACUACCUCUUUUCAACCCACUUGAAUGCUAGAAAAUACACAAAUUUCAGUUCACUCUAGCAAUAUAAAAAUUUGUACAAAAUUCAUAAAUUCUAAAGGCAGCAAUUAUAAGAUAAUUUUCAGGUGCUUAUAAACUGAAUUAUGGUCCCAGCAUAUCCUGAGAAAAACACCUCUGCAGACCCAUUCUCUGCUUGGAUUUUCCUCCAUCCCAACCAGUGCCCCAUGACUGAUAUAUUAAAGACCAUGAAAUGUGCUAUCCUGUCUGUGGGAAAGUGCAUUUAUUAAAGAUCCCUUGUUACUAAUGGGAAAAUGUAGCAGGUUUCCUAUAAGACUACUUGUGAGAAUUACCAAAUGUUAGACAUGCAACAGCCGAUGAUUAAUAAAUCAAUGUGCUCUGGUUGAAGAAAACACUCUCUUAAUUUCACUCUGGCUUGGAACUGCAUGGUACUGAGCUAUGAAGCCAGGACCUAGAUACUAGGCCUCAAAGCUGAUGGUUUGCUACUGUUUCACAAAGGCUUGCUAAACCAAACUGAAAUGUUCAGACUAAGCAUGAGUUGGAUUUUGAAAUAAGAUACGCUUACAGGACUCUAUAUAAUAGAAAUAAUUGUUUAUCAUCCCAAAAGGAAAAGUACAAUAUAAACAAUGGAGUUUCAUAUCUGCAUGAACAAAAGUAAAAAGGCAAAGCUGAAAUUGUGAACAGCAUUUUUUAUGGCAUCUUAACAAUAAAUUAACAACUGAAAAAAGAAAAAUAGAUAUCGGUCAUUAAAACAAUCUGUAUUAAGCACUUUCUUUCUUAAGUAAUUAAACACUAUGAAUACAAGGUAUCGGAAGUAAUUAAACACUAUGAAUACAAGGUAUCGGAAGUAAUUAAACACUAUGAAUACAAGGUAUCGGAAGUAAUUAAACACUAUGAAUACAAGGUAUCGGAAGGAUCUGUCCUGAAGCAAAUAGAGUCCUUGCCCUAAAAAAUGCAGGUAAGUACUUUACCAUUGUGAUACAUCCCACCAUUGCAGCCAAGUUGGGUUGCCCAGUAUGUAUGUUCUAGCUUCCAAACAAGUUGAAACUACAGUCCCAGAAAGUAUAAUAACACAUGGGAUAAUGUCUACAAACAGCAUAAUAACAAUGUGACCAACAACAGCAGUACGUCAUCAUGUGGAAGACCAAAUAGCAGUCUCUAUCAUUACGGAGCUGAUUAACAAGAUACUUUCAUCAUUAUAAUACAAGUUCAACAAAUCAUUAUGCAACAAAGCUGCCUUUUUACAAACAAAGCUUUAAAACACUUCUCAUUCCUACAAGC